GACGAACGCUGGCGGCGUGCUUAACACAUGCCAGUCGAACGGAAAGGCCCUUCGGGGUACUCGAGUGGCGAACGGGUGAGUAACACGUGGGUGAUCUGCCCUGCACUUUGGGAUAAGCCUGGGAAACUGGGUCUAAUACCGAAUAGGACCGCGCGCUUCAUGGUGUGUGGUGGAAAGCUUUUGCGGUGUGGGAUGGGCCCGCGGCCUAUCAGCUUGUUGGUGGGGUAAUGGCCUACCAAGGCGACGACGGGUAGCCGGCCUGAGAGGGUGACCGGCCACACUGGGACUGAGAUACGGCCCAGACUCCUACGGGAGGCAGCAGUGGGGAAUAUUGCACAAUGGGCGCAAGCCUGAUGCAGCGACGCCGCGUGAGGGAUGACGGCCUUCGGGUUGUAAACCUCUUUCACCAGGGACGAAGCGCAAGUGACGGUACCUGGAGAAGAAGCACCGGCCAACUACGUG
rnacentral:rRNA from 1 species